UUGUAUGUAUUUUGGGUAGUCUCCGUCGGACCUGUCGACGGAGACUACCCGAGGUACAUUAAAUUGAAGCAUAUGAAGUCGUAAUUUGAGAUUUGAUAUAUGUCCAACGGAGACUACCCAAGGUACAUUAAUUGAAGCAUAUACAGGCAUGAUUUGAGAUUUGAUAUAUGCAGUAGUUAAUUGAGAUGCGGAUGUACUGUUUCCAAAAAAUCUUAUUGCGGACAGGCAUUACUUUGUGUUUUUCAUCCUUACAUAUCUCGCAUUUAAGAUUAAGCUUCUUCAAUCCGUGCUGCAUAAUGCUGUGGAGGAUUGAUAAUAUUGUUGUUGCGUAUCUGUGAUGUAGCUUCAUAAUAUCAAAAGAUUCAUAUUCUGCAUCCACAUCACUUUGUAUCUUUCAUCCUUACAUAACUCUCAUUUGCGCUUUACCUUCUUAAAUCUGUUGUGCUUAUAUCUGUGGAGAAUUAUGUGUAUUGCUGCUGCAUUUUCAUGAUUUAGCUUCCUAAUUCCGUGAUUGAGCUUUGUUUCUCAAUUAUUCAUAUUCUGCAUCCCCAUUAGUCUGUGUUUCUCGUCCUAUCAUCCUUUUAUGGAGCACUGAACCUGAAGUAGUAAUGAUACAUAUAGUCACUAAUAGAAGAUUUUGGCGACUCAUGAUUCCCUAAGGGAUUGAUACGUAUAUUAUACAGUAGUAAGUUGAUUAUCUAGCUGACUUAAGUAUGGAGAUCUAUCGUUUCUGACUUUCCUAUCAUCCUAAGGCGAGUAUAUCCGAACCUGUUCUUGAUUGUGUUUGAAGGCAAUCUGACUGUUGGGUUGCUGGUCAUUUGCAUGUUAGUAUAAAACUGAACCAUUUAUGUGCAGAAGCUCUGUGAAUUUUGGUUGAGGGGGUUAGGCUGGUCUUUAAUUUUGGCUUCCUCUUUUAACUCUUUUAGUUUGUUAUCUUCUACCAUAAAACCUUUAAGGAAGAUUGAACAGAUAUCAUUGAUGUGUGUGAGGACACCAAUUUUGCUAACAAUAUGAUAUAUGUGGAAUUAUUUUGGAAAUUCUUUUAUUUCUGAUUCAACGCAUUUAUUUCAUCAAUGCUCUUACUUUGAAUUACAGACGCCAGUUCAUAUUGUCCUUUACUAUCUGGUUUGGCUGUUGUAAUCAGUUGAUCAAUGUUCAGUCAAUUGCUAACAUAUAUACUUGUUCUUCGUCUGAGAUCACAGAACCUACAUGUAGAGUGGGAAGUUCUUGCAGAGCCAAUUUCAGUUAAAUGUUACACUGUACUGUUUCUCUCAAUUAUUAGCUUUUAUAUCACUAUAUGUCAUAAAUGUAUACUCAGUCUUACAAGAAAUAAUAACCUAGUAUGCUGGCUACUUUUCUUGCAUCUAUUUGUUUCUACAAUCUUGACAAUGUCAUUUAUGUAAGGCACUCUAAUAGAAAGAUGAUAUACAUUGCUUUGACUUGUAAAGGAGUCAAUUGUGGGUGGCCACUGGCCAGUUCCACCAUAUUCAGGUUAUAAUAUAUUUAUAUGCAUGUAUACAAUCUUCUGAGUUGGAUUGUUGCUGAGCAGAAAUAAAUACUGUAAUGCUAGGGUUGAAGCAAGAAACAAGGUCUUGCCCUGUAAAGUUGCCACUCAUUGAUUCAAUGAUCCUAGACUUGUUUAUGUAUCUCUUGUUUCAUAAUUAUGUCAUGUAUGGAAUGAACAAAUGUGCCGUUGUUGGGAGAUGAGGUGGGAGCUUCUCAGGCAACUUUUUCUGUCUUAAAAUCCUUUCUGAUGCAUGAUUGAACAAAAACCAUUUUCUCGUUGACUAAUUAAUCUUAUUUUUCUUGUUUGAGCUGCUGUUUAUGAGGUUUAUUAGGAUGCUGCAAGCCAGCAGGCUUUCAGGUCUGAUGGAAAUUCCAGAUGUAUACAGUAAUCUUGUCAAGGUGCAUCACUAGUGCUUUUAUGGCCUAGGUGGCUGAGAUUAUAAUCUCAGUUUUAUAGAUUCUGAAAAUGUAGAAAACUGCCAGUAUGUUCUUUUAACGAGGGAGAGGAACUCAAAUCGUUCUUUGCAUAGUUUUAGCUUCCACAUGUCUGAAGUAGUAUGUUGUAGCUCUAAACACAUUAACUUUGUCCUAUGAUCACCUUUCAAGACUAGCAACUGAAGCUUAACUUUCCACUACGGGAGAUAAAGAUCAUGUGCUUUAAAGUGAGCCAAUGGUCAGGGUUGCAAAGUAAAAAUUGCUAAUCAUUUUAGCAUGCAUCAUUAUCAGUUUGUCACAAUCAUGGCCACAAAGUAAGAAUUCCCAUUUCAAUUUAUUAUGCAUCACUUGCACCAAUCGCUAUUUUGGUCAUGAAGUGACAAUGCUGAUUCCUUUUAUGAUACUUCAUAGUCGUAUUUGUGAAUAUUCUGCUACAACUACAGGUAACAGAUGAUCAUUAUUUCAUCGGUGCAGUUGGUAUCCUCUCAUUUCAAAGGUCACUCUAGCAGGCUGGUCGAUUUGAUAUUGGCUCUCACCAAAAGUCUGAUUGAAUGUGAUGUUAACUGCUCAAAGAGAUAGCACCAGCCUCUUAGCCUUGCACUAAGAUCAGAGGCGGAGACGAGACUUGUACACGUUUAGUAGUAGCAACAUCCCACAUGAAGCUGGCCGGCAGGAACAAGACAAGAGCAAUAAUAAUUGAAGAUUUGGAGUGAAUAAUGAAUCACUUUAUGGUAUGUACACUUAUUUGUGGGCAAUGAUAAAAGCAAUAUAUAAAAUUUCCAGUGCAAAGCCAUUUCCAGAUUGUCAGUGUUUGAGUCCCACAAAAAGAUGAAACUUUCAUACUCACCUUCAAAAGUGAUCUCUGCCAUGAUGCUUUCUGAACAUCUUCUAAAAUGGUUGAAAUUAAUGAAUCAAUCUCUCUCUUGAAACUUA